GUAACCUGGCUUCAGUGCACAGCCUUCCCCAGUAUCGUUUCCUUCAGACUGUCAUCAGGAAGAGUACCUGGAAAUUCCAGCGCACCUGGAUUGGAGCCAACGAUGCCAUCAAGGAGGGUCUUUGGCUGUGGAGCGACGGGUCCAGGUUUAACUACCAGAACUGGGGCCCGGGUCAACACUCUAACUAUAACCAUGGUGUUAUUAAGGACAACCACGAACGGCCAGAACCAUUGUAUGGAGAUGAACUAUGGAGCUUCCCACUGCCAGAAUGAUGCCCCCUGCUGGUUUACAUUUCCCUUCCUGUGUUCCAGAAAGCUGUGAUGUCACAUUUUGGGAGAGACAACAUUGGAGAAGCUCUCUGGCAUUUGAGAUUGUUUUAAAUAAAUGCACCGUCUGCAAUGUUACCUUUUGUUCAGUGGUCAUUUA